GUCCAGCUGACAAGUCCUAAAUACGACGAAACGCGCGUUCUGGAU
rnacentral:hammerhead_ribozyme from 1 species